CGUCAUAAAAGUCAAGAGCCUCCACCUCAAAAUCGCGCCGCUUGCUAGACACGCCCCCUCCCAACGCCACGCCCCAAAAUCGCGAAACAAUAUCCCACCAUAUAGUCGUAUUUGAUAGGAAUGAGAACCGAAUUAAAACACUGAGAAAAUCAGAAGUGGAACUAUUCGCUAUGGACUUCAGUCAUUCAUUUAAAAAAUCAUUUCGUUCGAGCUUUAUUUAAAUCGUAUUGUGCACCGAGCCGAAGGGAACCCACAUUCGCACAAUAAACGAACGCACUUGACUGAAAAUGUAAGCGAUAAUCCCCGAGGGCCACGACAUUUCAGGGAGGUGGAAAACGCGAGUAAUUGAACUCGGCAGAGUCCUGGAGCUGGGAUAAGUGGGUCGGAGAUGAGAAGAAUGUGGAGCUCGGAAUGCAUAUUUAUGCGAAAGUUACGCCUUUUUUCCGCCAGCUCCAUUCAUACGGUCGACAGUACAGUGGGCCCAAGCCUACGGAACUCGAAUAUUUGGGAAUACAAAAGCAGUUUUAUGCAACAGAGGAAAAGCCCUUUUUAGGCCCACUGCCAUGUCUAACAUAAUUUAAAGCCGUAGAAAAUCGAAGGAGCCCGAAGCCCGAAGCCCGGAGACCGGAGCCGGAAUGCCGGCCGAUUUGGGGGCCAUAAGCUAAGCGCUGUCAGGCCUGCCAGUUGACCCUGACGAGCAAUAGAGCAAUCGAGCAAUCGAUUUGCCAACGACCCAACAACGACUCUUACAAGCCUGUCACUUGACUGGGAUCCUGCUACUCAGACCACAGUCCGCCCCAUUCCAGAGACCUCAGUGCACAGUCCUUGUCCCUUUUGUUGGCCCACUUUAUGCGGCUACAACAUCGAUGUGUGGUAAUCGGGUCUUCGGCAUGGGCGGCGAUCCUAAGUCGGAUUAUUGACACGCCCACCAGCGCACAAACAC